rnacentral:rRNA from 1 species
UACGUAGGGGGCUAGCGUUGUCCGGAUUUAUUGGGCGUAAAGCGCGUGUAGGCGGCCAGAUAGGUCUGCUGUGAAAACUCGAGGCUCAACCUCGAGACGUCGGCGGAAACCAUCUGGCUAGAGUCCGGAAGAGGAGAGUGGAAUUCCUGGUGUAGCGGUGAAAUGCGCAGAUAUCAGGAAGAACACCCGUGGCGAAGGCAGCCUUCUGGGCCAACACUGACGCUCAUGCACGAAAGCGUGGGGAGCAAACAGG